AAGUCGUAACAAGGUUUCCGUAGGUGAACCUGCGGAAGGAUCAUUACUGAGUUAGGGUUCCUUUGAGCCCGAUCUCCAACCAUUUGUUUAAAUUACCUUGUUGCUUUGGCAGGCCCGCCUUUCGGGGCCGCCGGGGGUGUUCAGUCACCUCUAGCCCGUGCCUGCCAGUAGCCAAAUCAAAUUCUUUUAACCAUGUCGUCUGAAUCAUAAUUAAAAUUAAUUAAA
rnacentral:misc_RNA from 1 species